rnacentral:misc_RNA from 1 species
CUGCUGAAGUGCUUAGACGAGGUCGUUCUCCACCACCGCAAUCUAGAAAAACUUCUCCUCCUCCAAGGAAGACCUCUCCCAUUCGUGAGUCUCGUGUUCUCCAUAUUGACACCCUCAGUAGGAAUGUGCAUGAGGGCCAUUUAAAAGAAAUAUUUAGUAACUUUGGUGAAGUUGUACAUGUGGAGCUGGCAAUGGACCGUACUGUUAAUCUUCCAAAAGGAUAUGGAUAUGUUGAAUUCAGGACAAGGGCUGAUGCUGAGAAGGCCCUACUAUACAUGGAUGGGGCCCAGAUUGAGGGCAAUGUUGUUCGAGCAAGGUUCACAUUACCGC